rnacentral:rRNA from 1 species
GACGAACGCUGGCGGCGUGCUUAACACAUGCAAGUCGAACGAAGUGGCGAAAGGGUGAGUAACGCGUAAUCAACCUGCCCUUCAGAGGGGGACAACAGUUGGAAACGACUGCUAAUACCGCAUACUGAAGGAGGGGAUUGCGUCGGAUUAGCUAGUUGGAGGGGUAACGACCCACCAAGGCGAUGAUCAGUAGCCGGUGUGAGAGGAUGAACGGCCACAGUGGGAAUGAGACACGGCCCAGACUCCGACGGGAGGCAGCCGUGGGGAAUCUUCCGAAAUGGACGAAAGUCUGACGGAGCAACGCCGCGUGAGUGAUGACGGCCUUCGGGUUGGAAAGCUCUGUUAAUCGGGACGCGGUACCGGAAUAGAAAGCCACGGCUAACUACGUGCCAGCCGCCGCGGUAAUUC